CCGGCAGCUGGAGGGGAAGCCAGAGAGAGGUCAGGGAUUGCCCUGCUGGCGCACUGAAUUCCCAGCCUGCGCUCAGGGGUGCGGUUCCUGGGAAGGAGGGGGGUAGGGGAGGAGGGGAUACUGGGAGCCCAGCUCCUGCCAUCACUCCAGAGCCACUGCUCUGCCUGCCCUCACUCGGCCCAAAUCCUGUCCCUUCCCCUGCGUCCUCCUGCCACAUGAUCAUGCACUGCUUGUGAACUUCUCUAAGGGCUGCACUUGGGAUCACCGUCUCUCCCACCAGUCCCCCUGUCACGGCUGAAAGCACCUCAAAAGCAAGCGUGUUCCUCUCCAGGCUCAGCCCGGUGUGUGCAUCGGGAGGACUGCGUUUAACUCUCCAUGGCUGCCCUUGCUAAACCAUGGGGGCCCCGGAGGCCAGGCUCUGGUCCCCUGCUCUCCUCCCUGAGCCUUACUGUGCAGGUAAGAGGAGAGGUCCUCCACGCUGAUGCUGGACCACGCAUUGCCUGGGAUCCCUGGGGGCCCAGGGGGACCUGGGGGCCCAACGAUGCCUCUGUAUUCAGACCCUGAGACAGCAAAGGAGCACGGAGUCAGUGGAGGGGCCUGGGCCAAGGCCUCUGCCUUCCACCCCAGGCCACGUGGACCAGUGGCCCCUGUCCAGCCUUACCUUGGAGCAAGGAGAGGAGUUCCUCAUAGGAUGUUCCUGGCAAGCCGGGAGGCCCCGGGGGGCCAGGAAGCCCAAUGCUGAUUCCAGAGCCUGAGGAACAAAAGCCCAAGUUGUGAUGGAUUCUGAUCAGACAGGGCAAAGCAGGGGGAAACGCCUUGUCAGAGAGGAAGCCAGACACAGGAGUGAUUUGGACAGAAGUGGGAUCCCAGCAGGGGAAGAGGGGCAGCAGGAAGAAACAGGCCGAAAGAGGAACUCAGACUACAGUUGCCAUCGACACUGAGAAGCUAGGGCCGUAGGUCCUGGGACGAGUGCAGGUCAGCAUGCAGGGGUGUGUCGGAGGUCUGCAUGGGCACAAGUGGGGUGUGUGCAAACUGCCUGUGGGACGGCAUCCCAGAUACUCCUGGCUUCCCGGGCCAGGCUCAGGGCCUGCUCUUUCCCACAGACCAGGCCCUCUGGACUUGGUCUCUGGACUCUGGACACAGCUCAGCGCCCACCUCCUCCCUGGACCACCCCACUGACCGCCUGCCACAGGGGACAAGCCGGAAGGGUAGGCACUCACUGGACAUGUAGCUGAGGAUACGAGUGCUCAGUUCGGUGUAGUCCAGAGACUGCAGGGACCAAUCCGUCAGGUACUGCCGCAGGGACUGUCUCACAUCCUCCCCUGGAAGGACAGGCUGCGCUGGCGUGGGCCCCACCCCGGGCUCCUGCACACCCACAGGCUGGCCCUGAGCUGUGGGUUCUCAGUCCCCCGGGAAGCGGCAAGCCUGCAGGUCCCCAACAAGGCACCCGCGCAGUUACCCGGCACUGGGGACCCUGAGACUUGCGGCCCCCUCCCCAGUCAGUGCUGACCCACGGAGGCUCAGAGGCUGGGAGCGAGGAGGAGCAGCACUCCGCCCGCAGCUCUCUCAGCGCUCAGGUGGGAGCGAGCUGGGCUGCAGAGCUCCCGCCCUCCUGCCCAGGGCAGCCACUCACGCUGCAGGGCCGCCAGGAUGUCCGCAGAGGAGAUGGAGGCCGAGGAGCUGAUGCCGGCCCCCGAGGCUGUCAGGAAGGAAACCUCAGGUUACCUGCUUCCUAGCAAAACCGAAGCAACACCCUCGUUGCUCCAGAACCCCGAAGACCCGGCCAGCUAGCUGUUCCGUUUGGGGAAAAUGAACGAAUGGCGGCAUUAGGAGGCUGUUGUGAAUGCACGCAAAAGUCAACAGUGGGGCUGUGUUUGUGUUCGGACACCUCUGUCAACUGCAAGAAGGCUUGCUACACGUGGCUGUGCACGUGGCCUCUGUUCUCGGAGCCGGAUCCCAGUGGCCGAGAGCCCCGAGUUCCGAACUGAACUUCACAUCCCGAAGGGCGAAGCAAACAGCAAAGUAAGCGAGGAGGCUCUGGAGCAAAGUGACCACGGGAGGAGGGGGUCAUUGUGGGGGUGGGGACAGGCUUACUCUGUAAGUAGCUCCCGACACGGCUUGCCAGCUCCGAGUAGUCGAAAGUCUCCCCGGCAAUGGUGGUGACAGGCCCUGGGGGACCAGGUGGGCCUGGGGGACCCUGAACUCCAGACAGGUAAGACCUAAUGCUGUCGCCUGCCGACAAAGAAAGCAAAGUCGUGCCUGUCCCCAAGAGGGCGUGACCUCCCUCCAGGUGCCGGAAGCACCUCAUCCCAUCCAUGGCCCAAGGUGGGGCCAGCAGGGAGCCUAGACUCUUGGUUACAGAGAAAAGUUGAGGCCAAGGCCUGUGCUGGAUUAGAUGCUACUUGAAGACUGAGGACCGACGAGGCUCCAGUCGGCCGCCAUUUGACAAAGUCUAUACGCACAUUCUUAGAAAUCACACCCAGACGUGCAGCGGGAGUAUGGGAUGGGGGGUGCACACUUGUGUGACAGUGUGUGUGUGGCUGUGUUCCCACGGAUGAGUGUGUGGGUGAGGACGCACCUGUGUGGGCUGCCAUGAGAAGGUGGGUGUUGAGGGAGUCCAUGGUCAUGUGGUCCUGGCUCCCGGGGCGGGUUUCUGACCUAGGCCUGGCCCACAGGCUGCUGUAUCCCGCCGUGCGUGCACACACACGCGCACGCACACAGGCAAGCACACACGCGUGUGCACACACAAGCACAUCUCUUUGGUAGCCACCUGGCUCCCACCCACUCCCAGAGCCUCCCCCGCCUCGCCGCACUGGUACGGGCAAUGGGAUCUGUCAGGUCUAUUCACCUGGGGGGGAGGAGACCGGAGGCUUCCCGAAAUAGCCAGGCUCCACAGAGCACCGGAGACGCCCGGCCGAGCAGACACGUCGGCACACGCACCCACACAAACUCACUUAGAUCCCGGGACUCACUCUGCAUGUACUCAGCGAUGUACUGCUGGACCUCCCGGCCCGAGCUGCUGAUAGAGCCUGGAGGCCCCGGCGGGCCUGGCGGGCCUGGCGGACCCGGCACGAACAUGGUGCCCGACGACGAUCCCCCUGUAGGAGGGAAAGCCUUCUGAGUCUGCCAGGAAAAGCCCACCUUAGGAUCAAAGAAGGGCCCAGACACAGCUUCCACAGCACGAGGAGGGAGAAAUAGAUGGUGGCAAAGAGAAGGAAAGGAGGAGGGGAGUGCCUAUAAGCAGCCACUGUCUGGAAAGGGCACAGAGUUGGGAUUUCGCUGGACCGGACCCUCCCUUCAGCACCCCACUUCAGCAACUCAGCCCCAGAGGCCCCCUCAACUCCAAACGCCCCUAGCUCCCAGGUCUGUCCUGUUCUCCAUCAUUCGGCAUCGCCAGCCACCUUCACUGUACUGUCCUUCCCUCUCAUCUCCACCAACCUGUAACCUCCUUAAAGGCAGUGCAGAGGCCCUAGCACAUGGAGACGCGACCUGAUCAGCACCGAAUCAUGGGUGUGGGAGGCGAACAGGUGAAUGAAUCAGUGUCCUUGCUUGAGGAAGGGGAGAAGACCUUUGGUUCUUACCUUGAGAGAGACCACCAGGAAUGCCAGGAGCCCCUGGGAUACCAGGAUCGCCUAGAAUCCAACACAAGAAGACCUGUUUGUAUCACCUCCUCUAGGAAGCCUUCCCUGGUUGGGCCCAACCAAGUUUAUCAGCCUGUGACUCAACAACUGUCCCAGGUCUCUCAGUCUUAUUUCUGCAAUGCUACCACAAGCCCCCUUCAGGCAGAGACUGGACGCACGUCCUCAUCCCUUUCUCCGUCCAGCCGCCCCUUCCUCCCAAGCCUUUAACACCAGUGAGUACUCGCUGCCUUCUAUUCACACUCUGCGGGCCAUCCUUGCUCUCACGCCCCCUGCCUUCUUGGCUGCUCCCCUCACUGACCUUUGUCACCCUUGGGUCCCCGAGGGCCAGGCGGUCCCUGCAGGUUGAGUCCAAGAGAGCUGGAGCCUGGGAACCAACAACACAGUACAGUCACCCAGAGCUGAGGGGCUCUGGACAGAGCCAGCGGCGGGGGUGGGGGCUCAGCACUUACCUGAGGCUGAGAACCCUGGGAGGCCUUGCUCGCCUGAGGGACACACCCGAGGGGGGACCGUCAGUGACGCGCUCCUCCCUAGGCCCAGCCCAACGCCACCUCCCUCCCGAGCCUCCCCAGCCCUUACACACGCACACAUUCCCGACCCUUCCCAGAGACACCCACUCAGAUCUACCCUCACUCAUUUGGAUCAGACUCAUUCGUGGGAAGCUCAAGGCUUGGAAGGUCAGCCUUGGCCACCUCACCCCACCCCACAUUUUGUUUGAUGUCAGCUCUACUGACCUUGGUGUCCUCGAGGGCCUGGGGGGCCUGAUGGAAGGAGGCAGACACAGUUGUGAGAUGCAUACCUACCAGGUGCUGUGGCUGCAAGGGGCCCGUAGGGGAAGAGAUGGGGCUCCUGCCGGAGUGUGGGGUCGAGCCACGGCCAUGGCCACGUGUGCCAGCAGGCCAGCACAGCGGUGGGGAGUCUUUCUGGAGCUUCUAGCCACUGUGCCUCCCGCCAUGCUCCAGACCACCAGGUUCCUCCCGGGGUACGGCAGGAGGAUGCACAGAUGGCCCGGGUGACCCAGCCUCGUCCAGACUCUCCUGGCCACCCCGAGCAAGCAGGGGCACACGGGCUUCUGUGCCCCAAGACGCUACUCACCUUGGUCUCCCUUGGGGCCCGGGGGCCCAGGGGGGCCCGGGGGGCCAGAGAAGAAGGUCUCUGCAGAGGAGAGAAGGACUUCUGAGUGUGAGCACAGUGGUAUUUGUAAGGGAGCAGCUGCAAGCAUGGAGCCUGGCAUCCUGCGGGUGCUCAAUUGGUAUGUGGCAGAUGGGUGGAUCGAUGGAUGGGUGGAUAGUGGGAAGGUUGGACGAAGGAUAAAGGAAAUAACAAAUGGUGGAUGGAUAAAUAGAUGGGUGGGUGGGUGGAUCUUCCACAAGGGACAAGUUUUCCCGUUCUACGGAGUCUAUGCAAACACACCCUGGCGACAGGGCUGAAGGAGGAACAUGGUGAGUCUGUCAGGAAGACCGCAAGCCUGUGACCACAGCAUGUCCCGGAGCUAGGGCUGGGGUGGAGAGCGAGGGGACUGGACUCUUAACAUUACCUGAGUUGGUCAGGAAAGAUCCUGGUGGGCCUGGUGGGCCUGGCAGGCCUUCCCCUAAUAGGAGAACCACCAAGACUUAGUAAAGCCAAGCUAUGGGCCAUGAACCCUCUGCCCAGGAGAAGUGGCCAGGCAGCCCUUUCCUGAGAGCCAGCCCAGAAGAGGCCGUGGGUGCCAUGGUCUCGUAUCUUUCACCAGGGAGCUCAGCUCUCACCUGCUGGGCCUCGGGGUCCUGGUGGGCCUGGAAUGGAAGGUCCUGCAGAAAAGAGUGAGCAAGAGGCAAUGCUGAACUCAGGGAGCUGAUCCUGCCCCUGUGAUGAGGACCCCGGCUUCCUCACUAAGUGCCCUGUCCCCCACGAUUCCCCACCUUCCAGUGAUCCCUGAGAUGCUCACCUGGAGGUCCAGGUGGGCCAGGUGGGCCGGGGGGACCCCGUAAAUCAAGACCUUCUGUGGAGAGAAAAAAAAAUCAGAAAUAAGCAAAAGCUCUCACGAAGCUGUUCCCCACUAGCCCUCAUUAGGCUCAUCAGCGCCAGGUGCCCGGGCUACACCCACACCCCAGAGGCCAGCUCUGCGUCACGGCACAGGGCCCUCCGGGACCCCCUCUGCUAGAGGUGCUCCUCGCUCACAGGCGGGGCAGGGCAGAGCUGCCAUCAAAUGCCCUGAUGGCCAAGUACGUGGCUGUGUCAGCCCGAGUUCACAAUCCUGCUCUGCUACUUCUGGCUGGUGACUGGGCAAGCUCUUGACUUCUUUCGGCCUCAGCUUACUCUUCUCUAAACCGGAAGUCUAAGACCUAUGUCCCAGGAGCACUGUGAAGUCCCAGGGAGGUCCCAGGACAGAAUGUCUAGCACACGGCAGCUGCUGGGCCACGGCUGGCUGCUGCCUUUGCCAUCAGGUGUCUAAGUGGGAGACCCAGCGGCAUGUCUGCUUGGGCUCCUUAAUGGACUCUGGAAACAGAAGAACCCAGAAGUCACCCUCCCAGGCCGGGGCUGUAGCUGAGAACCCGUGGACCCUCGUCACUGCUCCUCGUGGGGGAGGCAGUUCUCUUGCCAGUCAUUCUCCCAGCGCCCAGCUCCCUUCAGAGGCCCCACUUGACCCUGGUCCUCCGAGAAUCCCAAGAACCUCUCCGACAGCUGCCCCAUCCCUGUGACUCACCCCCCCAGGGCCGACAAAAGGCCUGCUGUUCCUUGGAGGCUGGCAUGGCCUUUCAGAGGAACCAGUCACCCUUGCUCACAUGAGGGCUCAGGAUGACUCACUGGUCCAGCUGCUACAGGCCCCAAAUGUGCUGCCAUCUGUCCCGCUCCCGCCCCAGUGUCACCUCGCCCCAGAGAACAUGGGGGCACUCACGGGCAGAGAGGACCUCAGAGAUGGAGCUGCUGCUGCCCAUGAACGAUUCACCGGCAAGUCCUCGCUCCCCGCGGGGGCCUGUGUAAAAGACACGAGUUCAGGGGGGCUCCACCUGCAGCAACCCCUCUUCCUCCCCCAUGCUUUCUUCUAUAGGGCUUGGGAGGGUCCUGGUGGGUGGGGCGGGGUGGGGCGGAGCGCCAGGAGUGGGCGGGGUCUGGAGCAUCAGGAGUGAACAUUCCUGUUUGCAGGCCCAACAGCCCAGGGGAAACUGGACCAUUUUUUCCUAAGGCUGUUUUCUGGUGUUUGGAUAAAUCACUGGAAAGUAGCACAAUUAUCAGGAUCUGGGCACAAGAGCCUCGAUGCCUAUGAAAUAGCCAAGCUUGACCCUGACCAGCAUGCCACAGAGCCCCAAACCCCUGUCCAGAGGAUCCCUAUCUUCUCAGAAACCCAAGAAGAAGGGCCCUGCAAGGCCCUUGAUGAAGCACCGGGUCACCCCGUGACCUCUCUUCCAAAAUGCAGGUCUCCCACUUUAAGGCGGGGUCCCAAGUCCAGCAGGGAAAGGAAGCCUUCCCCCCCUGAGCCCAGAGUCCUGUGCUUCAGGACUGACGUACCUUGCUGUCCAGGGAGACCAGCUGGGCCCACGGGACCUAGAGAUGGAGUUGGGAAGAAAAGUCUUUACCACAUCUCUAGGGUCACAGUUCUAGAAGGAACUGAAAAAAGGGCAUGUCCAAACACACCUAGCUUGCUUACUUGAGAGCAAUAAGCAAUUUGAGACCAGACCUGUGGUCCAUCCCAUGAGAAUCAUGAGAAUUCCUCUGCCAAAACCCGGGCUCUGGGACAGGCAGAGCUGCCCCCUCUGUUCCCAGUGUUUAAGAAACUUCUCAGCGCCCCCGUAUUCUCCCUCUUAUUGGAGCUUAGCAGAAGGGAAGGCUGAUCCGUACUUGUGUUGGUUGUGCUAAAUCACCUACUGCGUUUACACGUUUUAAAUUAAAAAAAAAACACAGAUAAGGGCAUGUGGCUGGCUCAGUCAGAGAAGAGCAUGAGACUCUCAAUGUCUCAGGG